CAGUAGCCGCGGUAAUACGAAGGGUGCAAGCGUUAAUCGGAAUUACUGGGCGUAAAGCGUGCGUAGGCGGUUUGUUAAGUCUGUUGUGAAAUCCCCGGGCUCAACCUGGGAAUGGCAAUGGAUACUGGCAAGCUAGAGUGUGUCAGAGGAUGGUGGAAUUCCCGGUGUAGCGGUGAAAUGCGUAGAGAUCGGGAGGAACGUCAGUGGCGAAGGCGGCCAUCUGGGACAACACUGACGCUGAGGCACGAAAGCGUGGGGAGCAAACAGGAUUAGAUACCCCUGUAGUCCCUGUCUCUUAUAC
rnacentral:rRNA from 1 species